rnacentral:rRNA from 1 species
GAUGAACGCUGGCGGCGUGCCUAAUACAUGCAAGUCGAGCGAACGGACGAGAAGCUUGCUUCUCUGAUGUUAGCGGCGGACGGGUGAGUAACACGUGGAUAACCUACCUAUAAGACUGGGAUAACUUCGGGAAACCGGAGCUAAUACCGGAUGAUAUUUUGAACCGCAUGGUUCAAAAGUGAAAGACGGUCUUGCUGUCACUUAUAGAUGGAUCCGCGCUGCAUUAGCUAGUUGGUAAGGUAACGGCUUACCAAGGCAACGAUGCAUAGCCGACCUGAGAGGGUGAUCGGCCACACUGGAACUGAGACACGGUCCAGACUCCUACGGGAGGCAGCAGUAGGGAAUCUUCCGCAAUGGGCGAAAGCCUGACGGAGCAACGCCGCGUGAGUGAUGAAGGUCUUCGGAUCGUAAAACUCUGUUAUUAGGGAAGAACAUAUGUGUAAGUAACUGUGCACAUCUUGACGGUACCUAAUCAGAAAGCCACGGCUAACUACGUGCCAGCAGCCGCGGUAAUACGUAGGUGGCAAGCGUUAUCCGGAAUUAUUGGGCGUAAAGCGCGCGUAGGCGGUUUUUUAAGUCUGAUGUGAAAGCCCACGGCUCAUUCGUGGAGGGUCAUUGGAAACUGGAAAACUUGAGUGCAGAAGAGGAAAGUGGAAUUCCAUGUGUAGCGGUGAAAUGCGCAGAGAUAUGGAGGAACACCAGUGGCGAAGGCGACUUUCUGGUCUGUAACUGACGCUGAUGUGCGAAAGCGUGGGGAUCAAACAGGAUUAGAUACCCUGGUAGUCCACGCCGUAAACGAUGAGUGCUAAGUGUUAGGGGGUUUCCGCCCCUUAGUGCUGCAGCUAACGCAUUAAGCACUCCGCCUGGGGAGUACGACCGCAAGGUUGAAACUCAAAGGAAUUGACGGGGACCCGCACAAGCGGUGGAGCAUGUGGUUUAAUUCGAAGCAACGCGAAGAACCUUACCAAAUCUUGACAUCCUUUGACAACUCUAGAGAUAGAGCCUUCCCCUUCGGGGGACAAAGUGACAGGUGGUGCAUGGUUGUCGUCAGCUCGUGUCGUGAGAUGUUGGGUUAAGUCCCGCAACGAGCGCAACCCUUAAGCUUAGUUGCCAUCAUUAAGUUGGGCACUCUAAGUUGACUGCCGGUGACAAACCGGAGGAAGGUGGGGAUGACGUCAAAUCAUCAUGCCCCUUAUGAUUUGGGCUACACACGUGCUACAAUGGACAAUACAAAGGGCAGCGAAACCGCGAGGUCAAGCAAAUCCCAUAAAGUUGUUCUCAGUUCGGAUUGUAGUCUGCAACUCGACUACAUGAAGCUGGAAUCGCUAGUAAUCGUAGAUCAGCAUGCUACGGUGAAUACGUUCCCGGGUCU